rnacentral:lncRNA from 1 species
UCUUACUAGUAUAGAAUAUCAAUGGAUGAAUUCAUGAGAUCUAAAUGUGAAUUCAUCAAGUGUAGGUGUGAAGGAGGAAAGGUCAAUCAAUUCAAAACAACAAGGAAUCAGAGAACGAUGUAAAUCAUGAACUUGAAGAUCAAGUCAAGGACGCGAACGAAUACACAAGCUUUAUUUUGGUCAUUAAGUAAUAACAGGUCAAUUACAAGACUUGGAUAUAUAAUUGGAUAAAAAUUCGUUAUGUAGUUAAUUGCAUGUUAUCAACUUUAGUUAUGUUUUGGGUAUGUUUUGAAUGUGGAUCAAACAUGUAUGUAUCAAAACUCUUGAAUGAUUGUGUUUUUAUAUAAAAGUUUUAAUUU